rnacentral:rRNA from 1 species
UGGGGAAUUUUGGACAAUGGGGGCAACCCUGAUCCAGCCAUACCGCGUGAGUGAAGAAGGCCUUCGGGUUGUAAAGCUCUUUCAGCCGGAAAGAAAUUGCUUCUAUUAAUACUAGGAGUAGAUGACGGUACCGGCAGAAGAAGCACCGGCUAACUACGUGCCAGCAGCCGCGGUAAUACGUAGGGUGCGAGCGUUAAUCGGAAUUACUGGGCGUAAAGGGUGCGCAGGCGGUUUUGUAAGCCAGAUGUGAAAUCCCCGGGCUCAACCUGGGAACUGCAUUUGGGACUGCAAGGCUAGAGUACGGCAGAGGGAGGUAGAAUUCCACAUGUAGCAGUGAAAUGCGUAGAUAUGUGGAGGAAUACCGAUGGCGAAGGCAGCCUCCUGGGUCGAUACUGACGCUCAUGCACGAAAGCGUGGGGAGCAAACAGGAUUAGAUACCCUGGUAGUCCACGCCCUAAACGAUGUCAACUAGGUGUUGGGGAAGGAGACUUCUUUAGUACCGCAGCUAACGCGAUAAGUUGACCGCCUGGGGAGUACGGUCGCAAGAUUA